rnacentral:misc_RNA from 1 species
CCGUCAAUUCCUUUAAGUUUCAACCUUGCGGCCGUACUCCCCUGGCGGUGCGCUUACCGCGUUAGCUACGACACUGAGUGGCUAGGCCACCCAACAUCCAGCGCACAUCGUUUACGGCGUGGACUACCAGGGUAUCUAAUCCUGUUUGCUCCCCACGCUGUCGCGCCUCAGCGUCAGUUACUGCCCAGAGACCCGCCUUCGCCACCGGUGUUCCUCCUGAUAUCUGCGCAUUUCACCGCUACACCAGGAAUUCCAGUCUCCCCUACAGCACUCUAGUCUGCCCGUAUCGACUGCAGGCUCGGGGUUGAGCCCCGAGAUUUCACAGCCGACGCGACAAACCGCCUACGAGCUCUUUACGCCCAAUAAUUCCGGACAACGCUUGCACCCUACGUAUUACCGC